rnacentral:lncRNA from 1 species
GGCAUCGUUGUUGACAUUCGGAUCUUCUUCCAUCUCUGGCCACAUUACAAGAUAGGUGAGUACUUUGAAUGUACUCGCAAGCAACCCAGGAGGGUUAACAGAAUAUUCAUGCACGGCUUAGUACAAAUAAAGGCUCUAUUCUAGUUUCAUCAUUGCAUAAAGCCAAUUUUACUUUGCAAUAUGAUAAGUAGUUUGUAAAAGCAGUAAAACAACAUUUAUAAAAGAUGACAGUAAUAGUAAAGAGUAAUAACAUGCCGUGAUCAUGCUUCUACAUGAACACGGAAUAACUUCAUUCUCCAUUUGGCUACAACCAAAAUAUCUCCAGUUUUCCACCCCAAUGGAGCACACCCAUGUGGUCCAUUACAUUUAUAAAACCUUUGUAAACCUUAUGAAAAACAAGUCUAACAAUGUGUGGCCUGACCAAGUUUGUCCAUGACUGCGGACGCGGCUAUUCGAAUAGUUUUUAACACUUUGCAGAGGUUGUACGGCUUUACCCACACGAUGUGCGUCUCCCAUGCUACCAUGCGCAACUCAAUACACCCCACGGGAUGUACAACAGAGAUAUCACAACGAGGCGUUUUCGCUCAUCAAGUCCCAAUGAUGAACCUGCUAGAUGACAUCUUCUCUACAGUGAAGGUAAACCCCAACACCGAGAUUUCUGCGCUACAACACUCUCGCUAGUUGGACGUAAACCCGACGCAACUAGGUAGAGAGAGGUCACCUUUGUGUAGAGCAUCCUACCAUCUCGGUAGUCUCAUCAAGAAGUAAACCCUCCUUGCACCCUUCUAACGCCUACAAGUUCAACGAUGAUCCUAUACAAGAUACUAGCACUACUACAAAACAGCCCAUCAGUGUCGGGCGAAAUAGCUCGUUAGUGGCGGGCGGGGCGCCCGACACUCACUUCUUGUCAGUAAUGACCCCCUCAUUAGUGUCGGGUGCCACGCCCGACACUGAUGAUGCCUCUCAUCAGUGUCGGGUCCUUCACCGCCCCACACUGAUGAAGUAUGCCAUAUCAGUGUCGGUCGCCCGUUUGACAUCAGUGUCGGGCAAGCAACCGACACUGAUACUGUUUCAGUAAUAAAAAAAUAAUUUAAAAUAUUCGUUUCAACGCACAAUAAUACAGAAAAUAUUCCAAAAAUUCAAUUAAUACACAUAAAUACGUAGACUGAAAGCAUUGAUGUUCCAUCGUUUACUUUAUUUAGUUACAAGAAAGAAUAUUAUACAAAACAUGACAAAGUUCAAGCUAGCUAGUGUUACGUCACGCAAUCAAGUUAUGUAGUUCUAAACUCUUCGGUGAGUCCGAGUAACUAGACGCGCAGCUCGUGGGUGGAAAUCCCCACUUGGUCUGACGACCUCCUCGUUCAAGAAAUGGGCAAGCUCCCUCUGAACGUUAUACACUAGCCAUUUAGGGAGGUGUCUGUGAUCCCUUACGGCCCAUCUAGUACUCCUCUAUAGCCUUGUACGCCUUCCACUCAGGCUUGAAGUUGGAGACCCACUCCAUAAUAAUGAAGCAACAGUAGUAGCCGCAGUACACACUGCCCUCUGGCUGUUGAUUGCAGGGGAAGUGGUACUGAUGUUUAAGCUCACUGCGAUAGCCGUGUUUAGCCAAGUCUUCUGUGAGUGCCAUUUUCCAAGUGACGUCCAGGAGUGUCUUGAUGGGUCUCCAUGGGCGUUGCUCAGCACCCUUCGGCCUUGAUAGUGAAUCGAAGUACGUCACCGUGGCCAUCGGCAGGGUCAGGAUUAGUGUCACCCAAUGGUCUCUGUUUUCAAAAGGUACAACCUUCCGUAAGUAAAGAGUGAUAGACAUGAGUAGCAAAAGAAAUAACGCGGUACAUAGUUUUUAUUGAAACAACUUACUGCAAAUUAACGAGAAGGAUGAUAUCAUCCAUGUCAUGGUAUCUCUUCAGGAAUGCCUCAAGGUAUCGGCCUAACCGCUCUCUUGAUUGUGUCUUAUGUGGCUCUGUACCGAUGUCGUUGUAGCUGAACAUCGUGGGGUCAAGUAUGGCCACCUUCCUUUUACCUUUUCGCAAGGCUUCCCCCGUUUGGUAGGCACACCACACCCUUAACAAGUUGGCUUCUAGCUCUUUGUGGUUGAAGAGGUGGAACAAUUCGUUGAACUCCACGCCAAAGGUGAUAUCUUGUGUUUGAAUCCCAUCCUCUGACAUGUUGUAGAAGCCAUAAUGUGCUGGCACUUGAACAUUGAUUUGUUGGGCAUGCUGAGUAGAAUGAGCUGAUGCAUUCAAGUAGAAGUCAUGAAGAUCUUGCAUCUCUCGUGACAUGCCCUUCAAGUCUUCUUGGCUGACCAUCGGUCUCCCAGGGUAGAACAUAAGCACCUUGCUGCCUUCCCUAGCCACGAAAUAGGCUCCGUCGGCCUUCAUUUUGGUGCCUUGGAUGGGGUUCUCCUUUGCAAUGUCAUCCCUCAUGUCUUCCCACAAACCAAUGAUUUCAGGCACAUGAGGAUCCUUUAAUGUUUCAUUGGAUUUGACCUUUGAGGAGUCCGGGUUGUCCUUCCUAUCCUUGCCGCUGCGCCCCCUCCUUCUGUUUCUCCGCUUUGUGUCCUAGUAAGUUUCAAACUCGGCCACCUUGUACCUGUAAAAGAUCUGGCGGCCACCGAUGGACUCCGCCGCGCCCAUGAGAGAGUACGGGGGAGGGAGGCUAGCAGCCUUUCCUGUGGUCAGGCGUGCUUUUUGCUGUGGAGGCGACGAGUACGUCCGCCUUGGAUCGGUGCCUUCAUCGGCUCCAUGCUCCGCGUCAUCGACAGGAGGCGACAAAGUAGGUGAAAGGCCGAGCGGCGAUGCAGGAGGACCUUUGCGGGUGGGGGAAGAUGGAGUUGGACCGGGUCGGGCUGACGGAGAUGGAGUCUGAGAGGGCCGCUGGCUGUGAAGAGAUACCAGCCUCCUAGGCCAAAUCAUGGGGUAGUUCUUACAUUCACCUAGGAUGUCCACGCCUUCCUCCAGAGGGAAAGGGACGGGAUGAUCAUGAUGCUCCGCGACAACGGAGUCCACCAUCACACUCACUUGUGUGUCAUCCAUCAGUUUCCCGUGGACCGUCAGCGGCGACUGUCUGGGCAUCAGAUGGCCAUAUGCACCUACAGGCUUCCUAGGCUUCUCUACGUGAAUACGACAUUUCACCGUUGCCUGCGCGUAACAACAAAAUCCAUGGUGCAUAAGAGCUUGAUUAAGGUAAGGAAUUAAUGGAAGUGGUACGUAAAAGCAUGAUUAUGGUAAGGAAUUAUCGGGAUGUCGUCGUUCGGACCCGGAUCAUUGUCCCGAAUGCCAUCUCUUGGAUCCGGUUGGCUUUCGUCGAUGUCGACGGUUCGAGCCGGGCUAUAACGUGGGGUGACGUCAUAUUCGUCGACGCCCUCAACACGUGUUUCGGAGGUGGCGCUGCUCUUCGGCGGCCGCGGUGGAAGAGAGGGAGGAAGGAGUUCAAACCUUCCAUUCCUACCGAAAGUAUGCCUUCAAGGGCGGGGUUCUGCUUGGCGACGGCCUCUAGCAGAUGAUGUACGAGUACCACUGCGGUUUCUCUUGUAACCGCCUGAUCCUCUUCACGCGCCCCCGCCACUGCCUUCUCUAUUAUUUCUUCAUCAGUGGCCUUUCUUUUUUGGCCCCUGCUUUGCGUCGGAGCCAGCGGGAAAUAAAAUUCUAGUGUGUGCUCAGCCUUUUGCAAGCCGGCUGUCACGGCCGACUCCCACCUCUUGCUUUGCACGGAGUUGGUGGAGCAGUCUGACCUCUUGCUCUCCUCCCAUUUGUGGGCGUUUUCCUAUGAUCAUAAGACAUUAGAAGCGAUGUGAGCCUAUAUGGAUGAGUGUGUCAUCACUAUGAAAAAAAACAAGAAUACGUGAAACCCUUACCGCAAAGUUUUUGACAUGCGGUUGCAUCGGUGUCUUGCCCGCCCACUCAUCAGGGACAUGUGCUGAGGUGCAUAUUCUCUAGCACGUGGGUCCUUCAGAAUUUGAUGCACAUGAGGCACCCUCCCUUCCGCCUCCAGCUGACGGUCCUGCUUCCGCCAGAUCUUCCUCUUUCUCUCUUUCCCAGCACUCCCGAGCCGGUGGUUAAACUGUUUAAUCGCGUGCAAUUUCUUAAAUUUCUCUUGACUCGAAAGGAAGGCAGGGUCAGUUGAUUGCUUCUUGAAUUCCUCCCACGUGGCCUCAUCGGAUAUUUGAGGCCAUUUUUGUUUUACCACCUCCCAGGGUUUGUUCAGCCACUUUCGAGCGUUGUUUUUCCAAUUUGCGAGACCAUUCCUCAAUGAUAUGUUCGUCGCCGCAUCAAAUCUCGCCCGCCACUCGUCACUGACUUGGAACCUCUGGUGCACGUCCGCGAAGCAGAGAUUUCUAGUGACUUCAUUAAUGGUUUCCCACUCAUCGGUGAUUUUGCAAUGCUUACGGGCAAUGGCGCCACACGUCAUUGAGUAUGUCAUUUGUGCCUUCACCGGCGACACUGGGCGGCCUCUUUCGGAAUACGUAGUGACGACGUACUUGAAAUCCUUCAAGGGGUGGCUCCCCCUAGGCGUCCUCUUCUUUGUUGCCUGUGAACUAGGCUGCGAAGCUCCCUCGAGUUCUUGCUCAUUGCCAGAUCCAUCAGAUUCAUCUACGGCGUAACGUAACCUUUGUUCCUCCUCAGGUGCUUGUUGGCUACUGUUGUCCAUUUUGUGAACUACAUAUGCAAUCAAACCUAUCACAUAUAUGUAGCGGAAAAUUUUGGCAUAACCUAAACAGGAAAACAAAAAAAUUCGGCAUGACCUAUGCUAAAAUAACUAGCAAUUUUGGUCUACCGAGAGUUCACAACCUGCAUAAAAACCAUUCCCACCCGCAUAUAUGCCCCCUCGACACAAUGGUCGGCCCAUUCAAUGUCCCGACACGAUGGCCGGGCCUCACAUAACAACAUAUAACAAUGCCUCUUGACUCAAAUUUACGAACAAUGUUCUCUUAGCAGUGGAUUCAGUUAUCCUACGGCUCACAUAACAACAUAUAAAACCAUCGAACCUGCUGAGAAUAACACAAGUAAUUAUCGAAUAAAUAUUAGUAUUACAUCAUGGGCCUACAACAUGUUCAUGUCAAAUAGAUAAUUAAAUUAGUGGUGGUACCAUCAAAGAAAAAAAAAUGAUUGCUCCUCCCUCAGAUGGCUUGCCAUCCAAAGCAACAAUCAAUUGUUUACUAGUAGUAAUAAACUGGCUGUCUCAUACUAAAUGUUGUAGCCAAAUUAAGAAAAAAAACAUUUAACCUUCGAAGCAAAGCAAAGCAAAGACAGCCAAAUGCGGAGAAAACAUUAAUGGAUUAAUCAGCCUUCCUUGUAUAUCGAUUCUGUUAUUCGUUAAAAUUGUUUGCAUAGUGCUACAAUGGCUGGAUGAAUGCAGUGUAUUAGGUGUUGUCACAUGUUAAUUUUCCAUGAUUAGUCCCUCACAGGAAUCCCAUGGGUACAAGGACAGCAGAAAGCAAUAUGCAUGCUCAAUUCCCAGAGUACUAAAUGUGUGAAUACGAACGACACUUCUCUAUGUGUAAAGAGAUGAACUAAGCAUAAACCUACGGGGGUACGCACCUGGGGUUGGGGUCGACGGAGACGUGGCCAACGGCGGGCGGAGACGAGGCUGACGGAGGGCGGAGACAGGGCCGACGGAGGCGACGGUGGGUGGCGGAGACGGAGCCGGGGUCGACGGAGGCGACGGCGCGAUGGUGGGUGGCGGAGGGCGGAGUUGGGGCCGACGAAGUCACGGGGCCGGGUACGUCGAUGGAGGCGGCGACGGAGCAGGGCGACGCGACGGAGGCGACGGAGAGGGUGGCGAGGCAGCGCUUCGCCGUCGGGUGUGGAAAUCCCAACUGCGAGUCUAUAAUCAGACGCGUGGGUGCGGAAGAAGCGGCGGCGCUUCGGCCUUAUAUAGUGGAAGACAUCAGUGUCGGUCGACGGUUCCGCGCCCGACAGUGAUGACCAUCUAAAAAUCUUAAACAUUAUAAAACUAUUAAAGGACCAUCUAAAAAUCUUAAAAAUUAUAAAAAUAUUAUAGGACCACCUAAAAAUCUUAAAAAUUAUAAAAAUAUUAUAAGACCAUCUAAAUAUCUUAAACAUUAUAAAAAUAUUAUAGGACCAUGUAAAAAUCUUAAAAAUUAUAAAAAUAUUAUAAGACCAUCUAAAAAUCUUAAACAUUAUAAAAAUAUUAUAGGACCAUCUAAAAACCUAAAACAGUACAAUUAUAGAAAUAUGCUCAACAGAAAAACAUCACAUAUUAAUUUCAAUUAAUUAGUACGAGUACAAAUACAAUGUCACUACACUCGUUAGCUAGGCAUUUUUCUUGGCCUUGUCCUUCCUUCGGAAAGUCAGAACUUCCUUCGCAGUGCUUUUGAGAUAGGCUUUCUUUGGUAAUUCCUUCUCGCUCCCAUCAAUGUUCUUUUCCCUCUCCUUUUCCUUCUGUCGAUCGUGCGUUCUGCUUCUUCGUCAUCUGCAGCAAUCGUCGGAUCAUGAAAACCUUCGUAGUCUUCUUGUGAACUAACUCCGUCUACUCCAACAAUGCUUCUUUUCCCUCUUCUUACGACGACGCGACCUUUAUCGCUGAGUCAUCUAUGUAGAAUAGUUUCUUACAUAGCUUAGCAAAGACCCAUGGUUCUUCUCUUGCCGGGAUUUUUCUCACGUCAACUUCUUCACGCGGAAUCUCGGGAGGUAGCACCACAGUCGUGAACCUGUGACUCUCUUCUCUGUCCCCUUGGGUAUAUCUAACACGGAACAUUGGGAUCUUUGUGAUCGAGUAGUCCAAUUCCCAGAUCUCCUCGAUAACGCCAAAGUACGCUUUGGUUUUGCUAUUGCUGCCAGUCCCAGUUUGAGCAGUCACUAUACCGCUAUUUUGAUAUGUGCUUUUACUGUCCUGAGACUUGGUGUAGAAGGUAUAGCCAUUGAUAGCGUAUGAUUGCCAAGUAGAGACGUGGUAAGCAGGUUCCCGUGACAAAUAUGCAGCCGUCUCUUCAGAUACGUUGCUCGUCUGCCUGCCAUACCAGUAAUUUUUGAACCAGGCGGUGAAACUUUUAUUGUGCUCCUUGUGGAUCCAGACUUCCCCUCUUUUAGGGUUUUCAUCUCGAAGCUGUUGCAUGUGCAUUUCCUGAUAUGGGCGACAGCAAUCGACAUGUUGCAACACCACCAGAUGUGCUCUUUCAAAGUCGGCUCGCCUGCCUCUUCCAUACACAUUAAGUUGCUUAUGUCCAAGACCACCUUGGUCAUCAAGCUUGCCCUUGUGCCGCGAUUCCGGAACGCCUAUUGAUUUCUGAUCGGCCAACCAAUUAGUGCAGAACUCGACGCACUCUUCUGCCCUAAAACCUUCAACGAUGCUACCUUCUGGCUUCGAUCUGUUACGAACGUAGCGCUUCAGAACCCCGUUGUAUCGUUCAGGCCCAUACAUGUUGUGCAGAAAUGAGGGCCCUAGGCACAAGAUCUCAUCGACUAUGUGGAUCAUUAGAUGGACCAUGAUAUCAAAAAACGUCGGAGGGAAGAACACCUCAAGCUCACAAAGAAUCUUUAUGAUACUCUGUUGCAAUAGCAGGCACCGUUUAACGGUUAUUGAAUUCUGGGAGAUGCUAUCAAAGAAGUCGCAAAGCUUCAUGAUUAUCUCCCUGACUGACGGCUCCAUGAUACCUCUGAUUGCGACUGCGAGUAGCUGAGUGAGUAUGACAUGGCAGUCGUGAGACUUCAUGCCAGUUAGCUUGUGACUAUUCAUGUCAACCAACUGCUUGAUGCUCGACGAGUAGUUCGACGGAACUUUAAUGCCAUGCAGGCACUCGCACAUUCGUCGCAACUCGUCUUUCAUCAUGUUGUAACAGGCAAGACGACAUCGCGUAGUCACCGUCACGGAACCAUUCUUGUCUGCUGCCGACACUUCUUCUUCGCCCCACAGCUCUUCUCUGAUAUGCAUUAGUUCCAGGUCCUUCCGUGCUUUCGGUCCGUCUUUCGUCUUCUCUGGAAUGUUCAUCAGCAACCCCAGCACGCUUUCGCAUACCUUUUUCUCGACGUGCAUCACAUCUAUGCCGUGACGGCAUUGUAAAUGUGGCCAAUACUCCAGGUCCCAGAAUACAGAAAUCCUUUUCCAUACCACGCCAUCCGGCUCCUUAUAUUUCUUCGCAGCAAUCUUUCCUGGAACAACUUCCAGAUCAUUCACUAUUUCUAAGAUCUCCGCGCCGGACUUCUCCCUCGGCUUUGUCCCCAACUCUAUCUUACCAUUGAAACUUUCCUUGUCAAACCUCCAAGGGUCUUUAGCAUCCAACCAGUUUCGGUGGCCCAUGUAAACAGUUUUGGACGAAGCGGGCAACCUCUGAGAUGUCGUGUUUUCCUCGCACUUCGUACAUGCCUUGUAGCCUUUUGUUACCUGGCACGAUGUAUUGCCAUUCGCGGGAUAGUCAUGGACGCACGUCAACAACGCCGCUCUCAUCGUGAAGUACUCCCUUCUGUUUGCGUCCCAAACCAUUCUUCCAGGCUUCCAAAGUUGCUCUAGCUCAUUCUUUACUAGCUGCAGGCACACAUUUAGGUCAGCUCCUGGCUGCUUUGGACCCUGUAUGAGCAUGCACAUGUGGACGUACUUUCUCUUCAUGAUUAACCAUGGAGGAAGGUUGUACACAAAUAAGAUCACUGGCCAUGUUGUGUGCUUGCUGCUCUGGUCCUCGAACGGAUUGAUUCCGAAUGACACAGAUGAUCUUCACAUCAGUAACGGGCUGUGUGGCCCGACCCGACACUGAUGUGCACCGUCAUUGAUGUUGUGUCAUCAGUGUCGGUCGGGUGGCCCGCCUGUUACUGAUGUGUGCCAUGCCGAAUAUGGGCGAGUGAGGGGCGGGCUAUCAGUGACGAGCGUCGUCCCGCCCGACACUGAUGAUCGGCGUCAGUGACGGGCCCUGCCCGCCCGACACUGAUAUCCCGUCAUCUAUAUGCCAUUCUGUAGUAGUGUAGACCAAGCCAUUCCCAUAAAAGGCAUGUGGACGUACGGUAUAACUUGGGGGGAGCGGCACAAAGUUCGGUCCUUAAUUGAUCCGAGUAAGACUCCAACACUUCAUUAGGCUACAACCUAAUAUCAAAACCCUAUUAAGAUCCAACUUAUUAUUCCACAUUGGCAUUAAGCAACAACUUAAUAACCAUCUCCACUUUUCUCUACUAGUCUCCAAACACCACAAUAAAAUUUUCCUACUCGGAUCCAAAUCAUCUCCAUUUUUACUUUUACUUUUAUACCAAAGUAAUCUUUCAUAAUCUCUCUGGGCAAUGCAUGUCUCCCAAAGGUUUUCAAAAUCACCCCAAGUUUAGUUGAAAUGUGGUAGUACACUGCAUUUUCAUUUUUACUUUAGCGGUGCUAAUUACUUGUAUGGGUAAAUCUAAUACGCCACUCUUGGGAAUAGCAAAGUUUUUAUUUUACCUAAUGGCGACAAUGGUGGGGGUUACAACUUAUUCAAAGGUAAUGACUCAUUCAACUAGGACAUUAGCUAACACAUCUACACUUAAAAACUAGCAUGCGAUAACAAAAUACAACAUGCAUGUUUAAUAACACAAAACUACUUAUAAUGCAAGUAUGGGAUUCAAAAUGGUCAAGGGGUUGCUUGCCUGGCUCAUUGAGGUCUUGGUACUGCUCGGGUUCGUCGAUGAACUCCUCGUACGCGGGUUCCUCUACUCGUUUGCGCUAAACACCGAAUCAAAUACCCGAAUCAAUAAAUAGCAGUAAAAAUCAUAAAAUCUAAAAAUUACAAAAAUGCUAUUGUUGGAUAGAGGAUGAAAUUUUAGGAAUUUAGAAAUUUGUUUCACUUGAUUUGGAGUUGUAGAUCAAAUGUUAUGGGCGUUCGUUUGAUAGCAGUAACUAGUGAACGUUUACUAAAUAGCAUUUCGGGUUUUCUUUUGUUUUUGCUGAAAAGGUAAGAAGCGUAUUUCAGCUUUUCCAUUUUCCAGCAGAGAACACGGUUUCGGCCCUUGGCGCUGCUGGGUUGAACCCGACGGGGCGGCUGGUAGGCUGGCCGGAGCUCUUACCGGCGGCGGUGAAGGACGGCGGCGGCCGGCGGUGGGCUGGGGCGGUGCAGAAGGUCUAGGGGAAGCCUCUUGCCCCGGACUUCAAGCUCCGGCGGCCACGGGCGGGGGGCUGCUUCGCCGGCGGUGACAGGCGGCGAGAGCUCGCCUUAGAGCUUCACGCCUGAAAUAAAAGAAGGGGGAAGGGUCAGAAGGUGAAGAAGAUGCUAUGGUAGAAAGGAAUUUGAGAAUGGCGCGAGGAGGACGACGAAUUUCGUGCGGUGGCCGCGGCAAGCUUCCUCACCGGAGAGGAGGAAGAAGAGCUUCCGCCGCCAAGAGAAAGCUCGGGUGUGGGAUUGGGGAGGAGUGGAGGUGAUGGAGGGGCUGUGGGCGCAUGGGGACCUUAUAAAGGCCAGCGACGUCGCCCGUCGGGUCAUGGCCGAGGCGCGAGUGGGCGGGCUAAAGCCGGGAUUCCCGGGCCGAGAGCUUCGCGUCAAAAGGAAGCAAAUGAAGUGGGG